rnacentral:rRNA from 1 species
UUACACAUGCAAGUCGGACGGCAGCACAGAGAAGCUUGCUUCUUGGGUGGCGAGUGGCGAACGGGUGAGUAACAUAUCGGAACGUACCGAGCAGUGGGGGAUAACUAAUCGAAAGAUUAGCUAAUACCGCAUAUAUUCUGAGGAAGAAAGCAGGGGACCAUUUGGCCUUGCGCUGUUUGAGCGGCCGAUAUCUGAUUAACUAGUUGGUGGGGUAAAGGCCUACCAAGGCGACGAUCAGUAGCGGGUCUGAGAGGAUGAUCCGCCACACUGGGACUGAGACACGGCCCAGACUCCUACGGGAGGCAGCAGUGGGGAAUUUUGGACAAUGGGCGCAAGCCUGAUCCAGCCAUGCCGCGUGUCUGAAGAAGGCCUUCGGGUUGUAAAGGACUUUUGUCAGGGAAGAAAAGGGCGGGGUUAAUACCCCUGUCUGAUGACGGUACCUGAAGAAUAAGCACCGGCUAACUACGUGCCAGCAGCCGCGGUAAUACGUAGGGUGCGAGCGUUAAUCGGAAUUACUGGGCGUAAAGCGGGCGCAGACGGUUACUUAAGCAGGAUGUGAAAUCCCCGGGCUCAACCUGGGAACUGCGUUCUGAACUGGGUGACUAGAGUGUGUCAGAGGGAGGUAGAAUUCCACGUGUAGCAGUGAAAUGCGUAGAGAUGUGGAGGAAUACCGAUGGCGAAGGCAGCCUCCUGGGAUAACACUGACGUUCAUGCCCGAAAGCGUGGGUAGCAAACAGGAUUAGAUACCCUGGUAGUCCACGCCCUAAACGAUGUCGAUUAGCUGUUGGGCAGCAUGACUGCUUAGUAGCGAAGCUAACGCGUGAAAUCGACCGCCUGGGGAGUACGGUCGCAAGAUU